UGAACGCUGGCGGUAGGCCUAACACAUGCAAGUCGAACGGCAGCACAGUAAGAGCUUGCUCUUACGGGUGGCGAGUGGCGGACGGGUGAGGAAUACAUCGGAAUCUACUUUUUCGUGGGGGAUAACGUAGGGAAACUUACGCUAAUACCGCAUACGACCUACGGGUGAAAGCAGGGGAUCUUCGGACCUUGCGCGAUUGAAUGAGCCGAUGUCGGAUUAGCUAGUUGGCGGGGUAAAGGCCCACCAAGGCGACGAUCCGUAGCUGGUCUGAGAGGAUGAUCAGCCACACUGGAACUGAGACACGGUCCAGACUCCUACGGGAGGCAGCAGUGGGGAAUAUUGGACAAUGGGCGCAAGCCUGAUCCAGCCAUACCGCGUGGGUGAAGAAGGCCUUCGGGUUGUAAAGCCCUUUUGUUGGGAAAGAAAAGCAGCAGGUUAAUACCCCGCUGUUAUGACGGUACCCAAAGAAUAAGCACCGGCUAACUUCGUG
rnacentral:rRNA from 1 species